rnacentral:tRNA from 1 species
AUUUCUGUAGUGCAAUGAGUAGCGCGUUGGAUUUCUAAUCCAAAGGUUGUGGGUUCAAAUACCUCCUGGGAUG